AUUGAACGCUGGCGGCAGGCUUAACACAUGCAAGUCGAGCGGGGUGAUGGUGCUUGCACUAUCACUCAGCGGCGGACGGGUGAGUAAUGCUUAGGAAUCUGCCUAUUAGUGGGGGACAACAUCUCGAAAGGGAUGCUAAUACCGCAUACGUCCUACGGGAGAAAGCAGGGGAUCACUUGUGACCUUGCGCUAAUAGAUGAGCCUAAGUCGGAUUAGCUAGUUGGUGGGGUAAAGGCCUACCAAGGCGACGAUCUGUAGCGGGUCGGAGAGGAUGAUCCGCCACACGGGGACUGAAACACGGCCCAGACUCCUACGGGAGGCAGCAGUGGGGAGUAUUGGACAAUGGGGGGAACCCUGAUCCAGCCAUGCCGCGUGUGUGAAGAAGGCCUUAUGGUUGUAAAGCACUUUAAGCGAGGAGGAGGCUCUUUUGGUUAAUACCCAAGAUGAGUGGACGUUACUCGCAGAAUAAGCACCGGCUAACUCUGUGCCAGCCGCCGCAGUAA
rnacentral:rRNA from 1 species